rnacentral:tRNA from 1 species
GGAGGGUUCGGCUGCGUAGGGCGGCAACUGGUCUCGAAAACCAGCGGAACCGCAAGGUUAGAGGUUCGACUCCUCAACCCUCCGCCA